rnacentral:rRNA from 1 species
CCUUCGGGGUGCAGCAGUGGGGAAUAUUGGACAAUGGGCGAAAGCCUGAUCCAGCCAUGCCGCGUGUGUGAAGAAGGCCUUCGGGUUGUAAAGCACUUUCAGUGGGGAAGAAAGCCUUGGGGCUAAUACCCUCGAGGAAGGACAUCACCCACAGAAGAAGCACCGGCUAACUCCGUGCCAGCAGCCGCGGUAAUACGGAGGGUGCGAGCGUUAAUCGGAAUUACUGGGCGUAAAGCGCGCGUAGGCGGUCUGAUAAGCCGGUUGUGAAAGCCCCGGGCUCAACCUGGGAACGGCAUCCGGAACGGUCAGGGUAGGGUGCAGGAGAGGAAGGGAGAAUUCCCGGUGUAGCGGUGAAAUGCGUAGAGAUCGGGAGGAAUACCAGUGGCGAAGGCGGCCUUCUGGACUGACACUGACGCUGAGGUGCGAAAGCGUGGGUAGCAAACAGGAUUAGAUACCCUGUAGUC